ACUCCUACGGAGGCAGGCAGCAGUGGGGAAUAUUGCACAAUGGGCGCAAGCCUGAUGCAGCCAUGCCGUGUGUGUGAAGAAGGCCUUCGGGUUGUAAAGCACUUUCAGCGAGGAGGAAGGUGGUGAGCUUAAUACGCUCAUCAAUUGACGUUACUCGCAGAAGAAGCACCGGCUAACUCCGUGCCAGCAGCCGCGGUAAU
rnacentral:rRNA from 1 species